AAUAGCGGCCUCGAACACUGCUCUUUGAAGUGUCCUGGUGGAGAAAACAAUGUCACCAUGACGCCGCUCGGGGACGGCUGUCCUCUUGGUCCGGUCGUCAUACUUACAGUUCAGCAGCAGAAAGAACCAGAUGCCAGAGCACUGUGCCGCAUAUUCGUGUUCAAAUCGCCGGAUCGUCGAAAACAGGGCACGAGGGAUUACUUUUCACAAGUGAUGUGUGCCGUGUAAGCUUGGUCAGAGAUGCUGUACCAUCAUCAUUUGACGAGAACUCCCACCUUCUAGCUCUGAAAAACAAUGGCGGCCUACUGAUUCCAUCACAAGGCACAGUGAAGGUGCUGAGAGUUGCAGAGAGCUUGAUUUGCCAGGCUUCAGCAAAACAAGCUCCAAAGGUGUCAACAGUCUGGGAGGAGAUUGGAAUGGAGGUGGUUUUUCUGCUUGGGGAACACAUUGAAGAAACAGUUUGGUAUCGACAGCCAUCCUUCCAGCUUGUUGUCAUUGGUUGUGUCCGUGGCUGCACCAUGUUCCCAGACUUACCUGUCUUGAUCUGCAGAAAGGGAGCACGAGAAAGAAGCUCUGCAAAACAGUCCUCGUUCAUUGGUUUUAGCUGUAAAACGUUUGUACAUGUGUAAAUGUGGUUUAGGGCAGGGAUGUCAUGUUCUUGUGUUAACUUGAGAAUUCACAUUUACAUUACAUUUUAUUCUCUCUGCUUUGUACAUCUAUAUGAUAUAUAUAU